rnacentral:rRNA from 1 species
AUUGAACGCUGGCGGCAUGCCUUACACAUACAAGUCGAACGGUAACAGGUCUUCGGAUGCUGACGAGUGGCGAACGGGUGAGUAAUACAUCGGAACGUGCCCGAUCGUGGGGGAUAACGAGGCGAAAGCUUUGCUAAUACCGCAUACGAUCUACGGAUGAAAGCGGGGGAUCUUCGGACCUCGCGCGGACGGAGCGGCCGAUGGCAGAUUAGGUAGUUGGUGGGAUAAAAGCUUACCAAGCCGACGAUCUGUAGCUGGUCUGAGAGGAUGAUCAGCCACACUGGGACUGAGACACGGCCCAGACUCCUACGGGAGGCAGCAGUGGGGAAUUUUGGACAAUAGGCGAAAGCCUGAUCCAGCCAUGCCGCGUGCAGGAUGAAGGCCUUCGGGUUGUAAACUGCUUUUGUACGGAACGAAAAGCCUCUUUCUAAUAAAGAGGGGUCAUGACGGUACCGUAAGAAUAAGCACCGGCUAACUACGUG